rnacentral:rRNA from 1 species
AGAGUUUGAUCCUGGCUCAGGAUGAACGCUAGCUACAGGCUUAACACAUGCAAGUCGAGGGGCAGCAUAGCCUAGCAAUAGGUUGAUGGCGACCGGCGCACGGGUGAGUAACACGUAUCCAACCUACCGGUUAUUCCGGGAUAGCCUUUCGAAAGAAAGAUUAAUACCGGAUAGUAUAACGAGAAGGCAUCUUCUUGUUAUUAAAGAAUUUCGAUAACCGAUGGGGAUGCGUUCCAUUAGUUUGUUGGCGGGGUAACGGCCCACCAAGACAUCGAUGGAUAGGGGUUCUGAGAGGAAGGUCCCCCACAUUGGAACUGAGACACGGUCCAAACUCCUACGGGAGGCAGCAGUGAGGAAUAUUGGUCAAUGGGCGAUGGCCUGAACCAGCCAAGUAGCGUGAAGGAUGACUGCCCUAUGGGUUGUAAACUUCUUUUAUAAAGGAAUAAAGUCGGGUAUGCAUACCCGUUUGCAUGUACUUUAUGAAUAAGGAUCGGCUAACUCCGUGCCAGCAGCCGCGGUAAUACGGAGGAUCCGAGCGUUAUCCGGAUUUAUUGGGUUUAAAGGGAGCGUAGAUGGAUGUUUAAGUCAGUUGUGAAAGUUUGCGGCUCAACCGUAAAAUUGCAGUUGAUACUGGAUGUCUUGAGUGCAGUUGAGGCAGGCGGAAUUCGUGGUGUAGCGGUGAAAUGCUUAGAUAUCACGAAGAACUCCGAUUGCGAAGGCAGCCUGCUAAGCUGCAACUGACAUUGAGGCUCGAAAGUGUGGGUAUCAAACAGGAUUAGAUACCCUGGUAGUCCACACGGUAAACGAUGAAUACUCGCUGUUUGCGAUAUACGGCAAGCGGCCAAGCGAAAGCGUUAAGUAUUCCACCUGGGGAGUACGCCGGCAACGGUGAAACUCAAAGGAAUUGACGGGGGCCCGCACAAGCGGAGGAACAUGUGGUUUAAUUCGAUGAUACGCGAGGAACCUUACCCGGGCUUAAAUUGCACUCGAAUGAUCCGGAAACGGUUCAGCUAGCAAUAGCGAGUGUGAAGGUGCUGCAUGGUUGUCGUCAGCUCGUGCCGUGAGGUGUCGGCUUAA